AUUGAACGCUGGCGGCAGGCCUAACACAUGCAAGUCGAGCGAUAGCACAGGAGAGCUUGCUCUCUGGGUGACGAGCGGCGGACGGGUGAGUAAUGUCUGGGAAACUGCCUGAUGGAGGGGGAUAACUACUGGAAACGGUAGCUAAUACCGCAUAACGUCGCAAGACCAAAGAGGGGGGCCUUCGGGCCUCUUGCCAUCAGAUGUGCCCAGAGGGGAUUAGCUAGUAGGUGGGGUAACGGCGCACCUAGGCGACGAUCCCUAGCCGUGUCUGAGAGGAUGACCAGCCACACUGGAACUGAGACACGGUCCAGACUCCUACGGGAGGCAGCAGUGGGGAAUAUUGCACAAUGGGCGCAAGCCUGAUGCAGCCAUGCCGCGUGUAUGAAGAAGGCCUUCGGGUUGUAAAGUACUUUCAGCGGGGAGGAAGGUGCUGAGGUUAAUAACCUCAGCAAUUGACGUUACCCGCAGAAGAAGCACCGGCUAACUCCGUGCCAGCAGCCGCCGCCG
rnacentral:rRNA from 1 species